rnacentral:other from 1 species
CGGAGCAGCCGCAGCUUGCAGCCCGUUGAGGACGCCCAGAGUGGCGAGCAGACUGACCGACAGACUCGCCCCACGUCCACCUGUCCAGAAGAGGAAAGGCUGCUCCACCCACCUCUCCCAUCGCUAUAAAGGCCAGACAGCUGAAAGGGUGGCAACUUCUCCUCCUGCCGCACGCACGCCGGGAGCACCACGCGCUCCCUCUCCUUACAGUGACCCUGUGUGGUCUAUCCUGGUAUUAACCCCACUUUACAGUUGGGGAAACUGAGGCUCACAGGCGCGAAGGAAGUUUUCCAAGUUCACUCCGGUAAAGUAGCUGCGGCAGAACUUGAAUCCAGGUCGGUCUGGCUCCAGAGCUCGUGUGUGCAGCCGCUACCCCAGACUGCCUUCAGGUCUUAACUGUGAAAUUAUCCAGACCCACCCCCACCCCCCAGGCGGCCCAGGAGGGAGUUUGCACCUCUCGCUGCCUGGGUACUCCGGCCGCCGCUGCAAAGCCAACUUUGGAAAAAGUUUUCGGGGGGAGACUUCGGCUUUGAGGUGCCCAGCUCUAGCUUUCCGGCUUCGGGACCCUUCCCGGAAAAUGUUGCAAAAAAGCUAAGCCAGCGGGCAGAGGAAGACGCCGUUAGCCCGCAGCGAGAGAAGAGAGAAGACAAGCCUUCGACCGCCGCCUUCUUUUUCCUCUUGGAGGUUGGAGUCCCCUAGGCGCCCCCACACGGCUAGACACCUCGGCUGGUUCGCGACGCAGCCCCCCGGCCGUGGGU